ACGCAACUAAUACUUAUUUAUACACACCUCCCAAUGUACUAAAAUAAAUAAACCAAACCAUUUUACCCCCUUAGUAUGAGCGACAGAAAUGAAAUCACCAGAGCGAUAGAAAAAGUACCGCAAGGGAAAGCU
rnacentral:rRNA from 1 species